rnacentral:rRNA from 1 species
UACGGGGGGCAAGCGUUGUUCGGAAUCACUGGGCUUAAAGGGCGCGUAGGCGGUCUGUCAAGUCAGGGGUGAAAGCCUCCAGCUUAACUGGAGAAGUGCCUUUGAUACUGGCGGACUCGAGUGAGGUAGGGGUAGUGGGAACUUCCGGUGGAGCGGUGAAAUGCGUUGAUAUCGGAAGGAACGCCGGUGGCGAAAGCGCACUACUGGACCUCUUCUGACGCUGAGGCGCGAAAGCCAGGGGAGCCAAAGCGGGG